rnacentral:rRNA from 1 species
GACGAAUGCUGGCGGCGUGCCUAAUACAUGCCAGUAGAACGCUGAAGGAGGAGCUUGCUUCUCGGGAUGAGUUGCGAACGGGUGAGUAACGCGUAGGUAACCUGCCUGGUAGCGGGGGAUAACUAUUGGAAACGAUAGCUAAUACCGCAUAAUAGUAGAUGUUGCAUGACAUUUGCUUAAAAGGUGCAAUUGCAUCACUACCAGAUGGACCUUCGUUUUAUUAGCUAGUUGGUGGGGGAACGGCUCACCAAGGCGACGAUACAUGGCCGACCCGAGAGGGGCGUUGGGCCACACUGGGACUGAGACACGGCCCAGACUCCUACGGGAGGCAGCAGUGGGGAAUUUUGGGCAAUGGAGGGAAGCCUGACCCAGCAACGCCGCGGGUGUGAAGAAGGCUUUCGGGUGGUAAAGCACUGUUGUACGGGAAGAAAGCGUGUGGGAGAAGAAAUUUCGUGCUUUACGGGAACUUAACAAAAAAGAGCGGCUAAAUAAGUG